rnacentral:lncRNA from 10 species
GGGAGAUAUACCUAAUGCUAGAUGACGAGUUAGUGGGUGCAGCGCACCAGCAUGGCACAUGUAUACAUAUGUAACUAACCUGCAGAAUGUGCACAUGUACCCUAAAACUUAAAGUAUAAUAAAAAAAAAGAAAAAGAAAACAGCUUAACUAGAACACAUAUUCAAAAUUUAAGGUUAUUUAUAUAAUCACUAAAAAAAAAAAUGAGAUAGACUUAAUUUCAUUCUUUUUAAAAAAAAGCUUUUUCUGCAGAUCUAUUAGGUUUUCAUUUUUGACCAUAAUAUUUUUCUUUCAUUUCUACAUAUAUUUAAAAUAAUGCCUACAUGAUUUAGGAUGUAUUUUCAAGGAAAAUUAAAACUGAACAUCAUCUUCUUUGAGAUCUUUUGGCUUAUUCCAGCAUUUAUCAUACAAAUUCUCAUACUCCCUCUCUGUAUCUUCUUUAUAACCAUAACCAGUUGUAUUUUUUUAAUGUAGCUUCUGACCUUUUUAUAAGUUGUUCAAAAUAGGUACAAAGCAACUGGGUUUUGUUAUAUUUAGUUGGGAUAUUGCGGAUAUGAAGAAAACAAAAUGGCAUUGUCUUAAUUUUUAUAGCUAAAAAAUUUUAAGGUAGUCUUUUUUCUUUUUUCUUUUUUUUCUUUUUUUCUUUUUUUUUUUGAGACAGAGUUUUGCUCUUGUUGCCCAGGCUCAAGUGCAAUGGUGCGAUCUCAGCUCACCACAACCUCCACCUCCCGGGUUAAAGUGAUUCUCCUGCCACAGCCUCACAACUACUCAGGAGGCCUAGGCAGGAGGAUCAGUUGAGCCUAGGAGGUCUAGGCUGCAGUGAGCCAUGAUCACACCACUACAUCCCAUCCUGGGCAACAGAGCGAGAGCCUGUCUCAGAAAACAAACAAAAAACAACAACAACAAC